rnacentral:rRNA from 1 species
CCUACGGGGGGCAGCAGUGAGGAAUAUUGGUCAAUGGGCGCGAGCCUGAACCAGCCAAGUAGCGUGAAGGAUGACUGUACAACGUGUCGUAAACCUCUUUUAUCAAGGAACAAAGUGAGGGACGAGUGCCUGUUUGAGGGUACUUGAUGAAAAAGGAUCGGCUAACUCCGUGCCAGCAGCCGCGGUAAUACGGAGGAUGCGAGCGUUAUCCGGAUUUAUUGGGUUUAAAGGGUGCGCAGACGGCUGGUUAAGUCAGUGGUAAAAGCCUGGGGCUCAACCCUGGAGAGCCGUUGAAACUGGCGGGCUGGAGUUGGGGUGAAGUACGCGGAAUGCGCGGUGUAGCGGUGAAAUGCUUAGAUAUCGCGCAGAACCCCGAUUGCGAAGGCAGCGUACUAGCUCCACACUGACGCUGAGGCACGAAAGCGUGGGUAUCGAACAGGAUUAGAUACCCGAGUAGUC